GCUAAGGCCCCCAAUUCGUGGCUAAGUGGGAAAGGAUGUGGGACUCCCAAAACAACCAGGAGGUUGGCUUAGAAGCAGCCAUCCUUUAAAGAAAGCGUAACAGCUCACUGGUCUAAAUAAGGGGUCCUGCGCCGAAAAUGUAACGGGGCUCAAGCCACGAGCCGAAGCUUCGGGUGUGUUCGUCUUCGGAUUGAACACGCGGUAGCGGAGCGUUCCCUAGGCCUGCGAAGGAAGACCCGUGAGGGCUUCUGGAGGUAUGGGAAGUGCGAAUGCUGACAUGAG
rnacentral:rRNA from 1 species